GGGUCGUUUAAGUGCGUGAGGAGUAAAUGAACAUAAGGGUUAGUGCAGUUCAACGCGUGAUUCACCACCACCUUCUGCACCAUUAUAGCAGCCAGCUGGUAGCGGGAAUUUCUUGUCGUAUCAGUUCGUAUCAGUAGAUUCCGAGCGCAGUUCGGUAAUACAUAAAUUGAAGUGCCGUAGUUUUCUUUGCGAUUUUCGUUUGAAUUUUAUUUCAAAA